rnacentral:rRNA from 1 species
UGGGGAAUAUUGCACAAUGGGCGCAAGCCUGAUGCAGCCAUGCCGCGUGUGUGAAGAAGGCCUUCGGGUUGUAAAGCACUUUCAGCGAGGAGGAAGGUGGUGGACUUAAUACGUUCAUCAAUUGACGUUACUCGCAGAAGAAGCACCGGCUAACUCCGUGCCAGCAGCCGCGGUAAUACGGAGGGUGCAAGCGUUAAUCGGAAUUACUGGGCGUAAAGCGCACGCAGGCGGUUUGUUAAGUCAGAUGUGAAAUCCCCGGGCUCAACCUGGGAACUGCAUUUGAAAACUGGCAAGCUAGAGUCUCGUAGAGGGGGGUAGAAUUCCAGGUGUAGCGGUGAAAUGCGUAGAGAUCUGGAGGAAUACCGGUGGCGAAGGCGGCCCCCUGGACGAAGACUGACGCUCAGGUGCGAAAAGCGUGGGGAGCAAAACAGGAUUAGAUACCCUGGUAGUCCACGCUGUAAAACGAUGUCGAUUUUGGAGGGUUGUGCCCUUGAGGCGUGGCUUCCGGAGCUAACGCGUUAAAUCGACCGCCUGGGGAGUACGGCCGCAAGGUUAAAACUCAAAAGGAAUUGACGGGGUC